rnacentral:lncRNA from 1 species
AUGGCAAGAAGAGUGCCAGGGUUCCUCAUGGUUCUGCCUACUUCAAGAGUUCCCAGAGAGGCUCUUUGGCUGGGGGAGGAAUGGACCAGGACAGAAGAGAGCGGGAAUAUAAGGCGGUCCUCUAGGGAACGAGGGAAGACCCAGUGCGCUUCAGUUCUCAAGCCGGAUCCUUCUCCACCCCGUUUCCACGCCUCCUUUCUUCCCUCAAGCAACUCGGGGCGGGGUCGGUGGCUUCCACCGAAUGUCCUCGGCUCCGGGAUCUGCUACCAAAAGGAGCCGGGCCAGUUAGUUUCUAGUCCCGAGCCCAGGCUGUAG